UACGUAGGGUGCAAGCGUUGUCCGGAAUUAUUGGGCGUAAAGAGCUCGUAGGCGGUCAGUCGCGUCUGCUGUGAAAACUCGGGGCUUAACUCCGGGCCUGCAGUGGGUACGGGCUGACUAGAGUGCGGUAGAGGAGACUGGAAUUCCUGGUGUAGCGGUGAAAUGCGCAGAUAUCAGGAGGAACACCGAUGGCGAAGGCAGGUCUCUGGGCAUUAACUGACGCUGAGGAGCGAAAGCAUGGGGAGCGAACAGG
rnacentral:rRNA from 1 species